CUCCCGCCUCCUGGUAGUUUUUAAAAUUUAGCGAUGAGAAUCAGGGAAUUUAUUUUAUAUGGCCUAAUAUUACAUUUCCUACAUAAACUCUAAUCAAACAUAUUUUCACCCCAGGAAAUUGCGAAUUUACGUAAUUACAUAGUGUCUGUCUAAAUGAUUUGGAGAAAAACGAACUAACUCGCCUCAUAGCUAACUCGUUAUAAAUACUGUAUAUAUAAGUACAUUAUUUUUCGCGCGAUAAAAAUUAUAACUGAGUCUAAGGGAAAGUACAUUUAUUACACCGAGGGAGGGGGAUGAAGAUGUCUUGAAAAAAGCUCAUAUUUUUACAGGGCCCCUGUUGAGGUUAUCGGUAAAUUUCGAUGCCCCCCCCUCCAAGUUUUUAAAAUUUUCAAUGCCCCCCCCCCCCUCUAGAAUUCGGAAUCGAAGGAGUACAAUCCGGAAUUCUCUCUUAUCAUAG